GACAGAGGGUGCUAACGUUGUUCGGAAUUACUGGGCGUAAAGCGCGUGUAGGCGGCAUGGUAAGUCGGGUGUGAAAGCCCUGGGCUCAACCUAGGAAGAGCAUUCGAUACUACCAAGCUAGAGUCCCGGAGAGGGUGGUGGAACUGGUCAUGUAGAGGUGAAAUUCGUAGAUAUGACUAAGAACACCGGUGGCGAAGGCGGCCACCUGGACGGUGACUGACGCUGAGACGCGAAAGCGUGGGGAGCAAACAGG
rnacentral:rRNA from 1 species